UAAUAUGCAAGGUUUCAUGGUAGUCACUCUGUUCUAUGUCUUUCCUUUGCACUUAGCCUUUUUUGGUAAACCAAGUUGAUUUAAAAAUUAUUCAUGUUACCAGAACUGAAAAAAAUGUCACGUUCACGCGACCAGUUUCAAUUCUAAAUGCCAAAUUUUGAGGAAAAAUCCCGCCAUAAUCCAACCUGUAAACCAUUUCCGCCACACGUUUUGGGAGUACUAAAAUGGCGGCCAACUGGCUUCACCCAAUCGACAUACCACUCGAUGUGUAUGCACUAUACAGUCGUUUUUUUUUAUCCGAACGUGGCCUCCAUUCAUUCAUCGCGGGUUUCCGACCAUAGUUGCACGUCCCAGUGAUUAGAAGUGAUUAGAAAAGUGUGUCGCCGCGAUAGUCUCAGAGAACGUUGUCCCGCAUUGGCGGCACUAGCAAUGCUAAACUAGCGAUAGCGCUCUUAACAAGCUAGCGUUAGCAACCGCUGCUACGACGACGUUUGCUAACUUCGUGAAAUCGACUUCUAUCCAAUUGGACUCUUCAAAAUUGCAAAAAGAAAUUGCCAGUGAUAGCCCGAGGUGCUGUGCUACCUUGGGACUUCCGGUGUAGCAUCACCAAAGUGAAGAUCCGAAAGUGUUUUCAGUCGGAAAGGCAGCAAAACAUUUGCAUACGAUACAGCGAGUGAUUGAUGGAACGCGGUCUAAUUAAAAACCCACCUUGGCCGAUUCGCGGAUCUUCAGUGUAUCAAAAGCAAGAAACCAAAUAGACCCUCAAGCCUGGCUCGGUAUCGGAAACAUGUUCUACGUGUUCUACCAGGACGGCAUUAAAGUCAUCCAGCCGGUGGCAUGCGAGAUUCAGAGGCGCAUCAAGCCCAGCGAGAAACUGCUGGCUCUGAAGGUAAAAAGUUCAGAAGGAAAUGGAAGCUGGCACUUUUCCUGUAUUUUACCUGCAGCAUGGGGAAGCUCUUCUGCCUGUCCCCCCAGCUGAGGAUCCACACCUGGUCUUGAGACUUGUCGUAGUGCAGCUUGACGGGAUACGGGUCGGUGCUGACCGUCUGAUGGGCGGGCGGCGCUGGCCCGUGAUGGCGCACGUCAGCACGGCGCUCUGGCCCACCGUCACCUUCUUCACCGUCACCCUCUGGCGCUCCGGGAGGUCCAGCUGGUACACGUCUGUUGAUUACACGACAGCGCAGAGUCA